CCCGACACCAGAUGUUUUCAUCCGCGUUCAGCAAGAAGCAGCAGUGGCAGUGCGGGGACCGGGGUAAGUAUAUUCCAUGUGGGGUACCUGGCACAUGAGGGGCCAUUUUAUAUUCUUGGAGAACCCAUUUAACUAUGAAUAACAAGAUAAUGACACAAA